rnacentral:rRNA from 1 species
GCGCAUCAUCCAGCCACUAAUGCACGGAUCCCAUCAGAACUACCUGAGGUAAGCGCUUGCUUGGGCGAGAAGUAGUACUAGGAUGGUUGACCCCCUGGGAGUCCUCGUGUUGAUGCUCC